AUGAACGCUGGCGGCGUGCCUAAUACAUGCAAGUCGAGCGAACGGACGAGAAGCUUGCUUCUCUGAUGUUAGCGGCGGACGGGUGAGUAACACGUGGAUAACCUACCUAUAAGACUGGGAUAACUUCGGGAAACCGGAGCUAAUACCGGAUAAUAUUUUGAACCGCAUGGUUCAAAAGUGAAAGACGGUCUUGCUGUCACUUAUAGAUGGAUCCGCGCUGCAUUAGCUAGUUGGUAAGGUAACGGCUUACCAAGGCAACGAUGCAUAGCCGACCUGAGAGGGUGAUCGGCUACACUGGAACUGAGACACGGUCCAGACUCCUACGGGAGGCAGCAGUAGGGAAUCUUCCGCAAUGGGCGAAAGCCUGACGGAGCAACGCCGCGUGAGUGAUGAAGGUCUUCGGAUCGUAAAACUCUGUUAUUAGGGAAGAACAUAUGUGUAAGUAACUGUGCACAUCUUGACGGUACCUAAUCAGAAAGCCACGGCUAACUACGUG
rnacentral:rRNA from 1 species